rnacentral:rRNA from 1 species
GAUGAACGCUGGCGGCGUGCUUAACACAUGCAAGUCGAACGAUGAAGCUCAGCUUGCUGGGUGGUUUAGUGGCGAACGGGUGAGUAGCACGUGAGUAACCUGCCCUUAACUCUGGGAUAAGCCUGGGAAACUAGGUCUAAUACCGGAUAGGAGCGCCUACCGCAUGGUGGGUGUUGGAAAAAUUUAUCGGUUUUGGAUGGACUCGCGGCCUAUCAGCUUGUUGGUGAGGUAAUGGCUCACUAAGGCGACGACGGGUAGCCGGCCUGAGAGGGUGAACGGCCACACUGGGACUGAGACACGGCCCAGACUGCUACGGGAGGCAGCAGUGGGGAAUAUUGCGCAAUGGGCGAAAGCCUGAUGCAGCGACGCCGCGUGAGGGAUGACGGCCUUCGGGUUGUAAACCUCUUUCAGUAGGGAAGAAGCGAAAGUGACGGUACCUGCAGAAGAAGCACCGGCUAACUACGUG